rnacentral:rRNA from 1 species
UACGUAGGGGGCAAGCGUUGUCCGGAAUCAUUGGGCGUAAAGCGCGUGUAGGCGGUUCGGUAAGUCGGCUGUGAAAGUCCAGGGCUCAACCCUGGGAUGCCGGUCGAUACUGCCGGACUAGAGUUCGGAAGAGGGCGAGUGGAAUUUCCCGGGUGUAGCGGUGAAAUUUCGAUAGAUAUCGGGAGGAACACCGGUGGCGAAGGCGGCGACCUGGGUAGAUACUGACGCUGAGGUGCGAAAGCGUGGGGAGCAAACAGG